rnacentral:rRNA from 1 species
AGGGCGUAUGGUGGAUGCCUAGGCAUUAGAAGACGAAGAAGGACGCGACAAACAGCGAAAUUGCCUCGGGGAGUUGUAAGUAAGCAUUGAUCCGGGGGUAUCCGAAUGAGGAAACUUACCAAGAAAGGUAUCCUAAAAUGAAUACAUAGUUUUAGUGAAGGAAACCCUGUGAACUGAAACAUCUUAGUAACAGGAGGAAAAGAAAGAAAAAUCGAUUGCCUUAGUAGUGGCGAGCGAAACGGCAAUAGCCCAAACCAAUCUACGGAUUGGGGUAGUAGGACACUUCGAAACGAGGAUAAGAGCUAAAGAUAGCUAAAUGAUUUGGGAAAGUCAGUCAAAGAAGGUGAAAACCCUGUAGGCGAAAUCUGAAGCACUCAGAAGUGAAUCCUGAGUACGGCGGGACACGAGAAAUCCUGUCGGAAUCAACGGGGACCAUCCCGUAAGGCUAAAUACUCUCUAAUGACCGAUAGUGAACAAGUACCGUGAGGGAAAGGUGAAAAGAACCCCGGGAGGGGAGUGAAAUAGAGAAUCUGAAACCAUAUGCUUACAAAAAGUUCGAGCCCGUUAAAGGGUGAGAGCGUGCCUUUUGCAGAAUGAGCCGGCGAGUUAUGGUAUUGUGCAAGGUUAAGUAGAAAAUACGGAGCCGAAGCGAAAGCGAGUCUUAAAAGGGCGAAAAAGUACAAUGCUGUAGACCCGAAACUGAGUGAUCUAGCCAUGAGCAGGUUGAAGUGUAGGUAACACUACAUGGAGGACCGAACCAGGGUACUAUGUAACGUGCUUGGAUGACUUGUGGUUAGCGGUGAAAUUCCAAUCGAACUCAGAGAUAGCUGGUUCUCCCCGAAAUAGGUUUAGGCCUAGCCUUGAAGAAUUUCCUCUGGAGGUAGAGCACUGAAUGUGGAAUGGCCGCGUCUAGCGGUACUGACUGCAAUCAACCUCCGAAUGCCAGAGUAGUUAGCUUCAGGAGUCAGUUUAUGGGUGAUAACGUCCAUAUGCGAGAGAAAAACAAUUCAGACCACCAGUUAAGGUCCCAAAAUAUAUGUUAAGUGGGAAAGGAUGUGGAGUUGCACGAACAGCUAGGAGGUUGGCUUAGAAGCAGCCAUCCUUUAAAGAGUGCGUAAUAGCUCACUAGUCGAGUGGCUCUGCGCCGAAAAUGUACCGGGGCUAAACAUAUUACCGAAACUGUGGAUUUAUGCAAUAGCAUAAGUGGUAGGGGAGCGUUCUAAGGGCGACGAAGAUAGAUCGAGAGGACUAUUGGAGCGCUUAGAAGUGAGAAUGCCGGUGUGAGUAACGUAAGGUAGGUGAGAAUCCUACCCACUGAUUGACCAAGGAUUCCAGGGUCAAGUUCGUCUACCCUGGGUAAGUCAGGACCUAAGGCGAGGCUGAGAAGCGUAGUCGAUGGACAACAGGUUUAUAUUCCUGUACUAUUUAUAGGACUGAAGGAGUGACAAAGGAAGCUAGUAAGAGCCAUUUAAUGGAUUAUGGUCUAAGCACAAAGACUGAUACAUAGGAAAAUCCGUGAUAUCGAACGGUUGAAGUGUGAUGGCGAAGCAGUCUACGGACAGCGAAGUCUUAUGAGGCUAAACUUUUUAAAAAAGCUUCUAAAGAAAUGCUAUAAAUACCUGUACUAAGAACCAACGCAGGUGGUCAAGGAGAGAAUCCUAAGGUGAGCGAGAGAACUAUGGUUAAGGAACUCGGCACAAUGAUCCCGUAACUUCGGAAUAAGGGAAGGUCUUGAAAAAGACCCGCAGUGAAUAGGCCCAAGCGACUGUUUACCAAAAACACAGGUUUCUGCAAAAGCGUAAGCUGAAGUAUAGGAGCUGACGCCUGCCCAGUGCUGGAAGGUUAAGAUGAUUUGUAAGAUGGACGAAAGUCGAUAACAUCGAAGCAAUGAAUUGAAGCCCCAGUGAACGGCGGCGAUAACUAUAAUCGUCCAAAGGUAGCGAAAUUCCUUGUCAGGUAAGUUCUGACCCGCACGAAAGGCGUAACGAUUUGGGCACUGUCUCAACCAUAGACUCGGUGAAAUCUUAAUACCUGUGAAAAUGCAGGUUACCAGCGACAGGACGGAAAGACCCCAUGGAGCUUUACUGUAGCUUGAUAUUGAAAUCAGGUAGUUAAUGUAGAGGAUAGGUGGUAGACUAUGAAGUUAAGACGCUAGUCUUAAUGGAGUCGACCUUGGAAUACCACCCUUUGACUAUUUGAUUUCUAACUUGCACCCGUAAUCCGGGUGAA